CGUUCGCUGCCCUCCCUACUCUGUACCAAAUCCUUACACAGCGACGACACCGGACCGAAAAUUUCUCGGCGGCUGCGGCUGCGGCUGCGGCGACGGCUGCGGCGGCGGCCAAGAUCCUGAGCCAAGCUGGGCAGGCUCGCGCAGAGAAGAUGCUGAUCCAUCUCCUCUCCGAUGGAUCCUAACCGUUUCGUUGCCGGUGGCGCAGUUUGUGGCAGAUUAGAUCGGAUUCCUCACCUCCUCCCCGCUCGCUCCCAGAUCAGCUCGCCGCCGUCCUCCUCCACCCCCACCCCCUCUCGCGAUUCAGCACUAGCUCGGCGGUCGUGGAUCCUCGCCUCCUUCCCGGCCGUCCGCUUCUGGUUCCGCGAACAGGCCACCACAGUUCUUCGUUCUUCAGGUAGAUCGAACUGGUGAAGUGUAUAAGAGUCCAUGGAGGUUGUCAUCUCUCUCCCAGCAGGAAGCUCGAUUGCCAGGAAGCACCACACGAGGCAAAACAAUAGAUAUUUUUGGUCUUGUACCAGCAAGUAGCUUGUUGGGCGAUGAUAAUUUCAGUCUUUACCAUUUGGUCUUGCCGGCCAUAUACUAAAAAUGAUCUGUAUGCCUCAUGUACUCAAGUACUUAAAUGCUUGCUGAGCACUGAUAAUUUCAGUCCUUAAUUUGCUCUAAUUCCAGUUUGACAUGUACGCGUGGUUC